CACGUAGGGGGCGAGCGUUGUCCGGAUUCAUUGGGCGUAAAGAGCUCGUAGGCGGCUCAGUAAGUCGGGUGUGAAACCCUCAGGCUCAACCUGGGGACGCCACUCGAUACUGCUGUGGCUAGAGUCCAGUAGAGGAGUGUGGAAUUCCCGGUGUAGCGGUGAAAUGCGCAGAUAUCAGGAGGAACACCUGUGGCGAAAGCGGCUCACUGGACCAUAACUGACGCUGAGGAGCGAAAGCGUGGGGAGCGAACAGGA
rnacentral:rRNA from 1 species